GAUUUAUAUUCAUUAUUAUUACUGACUUUAUGUUAAUUUCACUUAAUAAUCUGAUGCAGUAAUAUCUGUAUGAAUAAAAAAUGAUGCCACCAAUGAAUCCACCGCCGUUUCAGGCGGCGCCGUGGCUGCCACCGGUGGCACCACCGACCAGUAGCUUCUGGAAUACAACAAAUGUUCAAGCUACCUUAAAGGAAUUACACAACACUAUUCAUCUUGCUGAAGCAAUGGAGAAAGAGUUGGAGAUGCUUAUUGCAUUAAAAAGUGGUGAGGAGCGGUUUGAAGGGAGGGAGGACGCGGAGAAUGGGACUGCAAUUGAAAGGUUUUCAAAGUUUCUAGAGAGUAACAGGAUAGUGUUGGAUACUCAGGAGAAAAUUUCGCUGGAAGCAGCAAAUGGGUUAUUAGUUAAGCUUAAAAAUGAACUUGAGCCGUUUAAAGUUGUGACUGAUGAUAAAACGCCGUGGGAGGAAAAGUCUGCAGCAGUGAGGCUAUCAAAUAAAAUGCAGAAACACAAAAGAAACAAACUUUGGCGGAAAAGAAAGAGACGUCGCAUUGGGGAAAUGCUUGCAAAGGAGCGUGAGCAGUUUGAACAAGUUGACCAAGAAGCUGAUGAGUGGAGGGCUAGGGAAAUCGCAAAGGAAAUCGCAAAGCAGAAGGUUGAGAAGAUGAAGGAAAUUGCAAAGCAAAAGGCUAAAGAGGAGCGAAGGAAAUUAGAAUCAGAGCUGGAGCAAGUAUUAAUAGUAGAGAAGCUGCAAGAGUUACGAUCCAUCAGGAUCCAGAAACUAACAAAGCAAGGCCAUUUUCUCCCGGAGGAAGAUGACAAAUUUCUUGAGAGAAUUCGAGCUGCAGUCGAGGAAGAAGAGCGCCAAGCAAUGGCGGCUGCUGAAACAGGUGCUGCUAAAGAUGCUAUUGCAACUGCCGAGGAAUUUAGAAAUAUAACGGGUGGAAAUGUUCUAAGUUCAGAAGAUCAAAGCAAUGUAAAAGAUGGAGAGAAAUUAAUCCAUGGUAACUUAACGGAGACUGAAGCAAAAAGAAGCUCAAAGGAAACCUCUGCUUUGGAAUCUGGGAAACAAGGAUCCACAGUUGUGGGUCCCAACAGCGGAUAUGAUUAUUCUGCAAGCUUACCCCUUGAAUUUUAUCACUAUUAUCAUGGCAGCAGUACUGAUAUGGGGACGCUAAUUGAGGUGAGACGAACAUGGGAUGCAUAUUUAAGACCCGGAGGAAGUCGGAUUCCAGGUCAUUGGGUUCCACCACCCCCACCAGCUGACGAAGUAUGGGCAUCCUACCUUGUGAAACAUUGAUGAACUUUCGUAUUGUUCGCAUUAAGCUGUUUGAACUUGUUAGUGGCUGCUCCAUUUAUGGUUUGCAAAUGCCAGCAAGUUGUUGAGCUUCACAAAAGUUGUGGUUCCUUCCACUCAUCUUUAAACAAGGGGUCUUUGCUCUAUUCAAAGAUAUUGCAAAGUAUGUACAUACGGCCAUUAAAGUUCCUCUCCCAAACAUGAAGUGUACAGAAGGCCUUAAAGAGACAACCGUAACUGGCGAUGUUGCAUAUAGCGUGGGCGAGUGGUUUAGAAGAAACUUAGUUUGGAUGAAGUAGAAUAUUGCUUAUGAAGUGUGCUACUGUCGUUACUGUCAUUGGUUGUGGUGAUAAAGCUAAAUGCUAAAAGUUUAGGGCAUCAUUCUCUUCUUAAUUUUCAGUCACCUGGAGGCAUAUACGAUGACAAUGGGAAAGUACAUACAGAUGAUUCUCUUAAAGCUGGAGUCUUGAUGCAUUGACCAUCUUUUCCAUGUUUCUUCUCAUGACAAUGGGAAACUGCGGACAUAUAUGAUCCUUUGAAAUACACAUGCUUAUAUUAGAGAAAGAGACUUGAAUUUUAUUGUUCAUUGUUUAGUAUCUAAUUUUAUCUUUCCACAAAUGUUUCGUUACAUUCCUCAUUACAAAAUUGUAGCUUAUCAUCAGAUUUAGAAGUGUUGAAUGUUAAA